CCCUUAGAUGUUCUGGGCCGCACGCGCGCUACACUGACGAAUGCAACGAGCUUAUAACCUUGGCCGAAAGGUCUGGGUAAUCUCCAAAUUUCGUCGUGAUGGGGAUAGAUUAUUGCAAUUAUUAAUCUUCAACGAGGAAUGCCUAUUAAGCGCAAGUCAUCAGCUUGCGUUGAUUACGUCCCUGCCCUUUGUACACACCGCCCGUCGCUCCUACCGAUUGAAUGGUCCGGUGAAGCGUUCGGACCGUGGCCUUUGGACGGUUCGCCGUCUGUUGGCUGCGGGAAGUUCGUUAAACCUUAUCAUUUAGAGGAAGGAGAAGUCGUAACA
rnacentral:rRNA from 1 species